CCGACUGAUCGACGCUAGUUCUGCCACUGAUAUAUUAAAUGGCCGCGGUAUCUUGACCGUGCAAAGGUAGCAUAAUCAUUAGUCUUUUAAUUGAAGGCUGGAAUGAAUGGUUUGACGAAGUAUAAGCUGUCUCUGUAUAAUAAAUGGAAUUUGUCUUUUUAGUUAAAAGACUUAAAUAAAAAUAAGGGACGAGAAGACCCUAUAGAGCUUUAUAUAAUUAUACAAUAUGAAAUUUUUUAGAUGUUUUAUUAGUUUAGUGUGUAUUUAUAUUGUGUUGGGGUGACAUAAAGAUAAAAUUAACUCUUUAUAUUUAUUAACAUAUAUUUAUGAAUACUUGAUCCAGUAUUACUGAUUGAAAGAUAAAGUUACCUUAGGGAUAACAGCGUAAUCCUUCUUGAGAGUUCAUAUCGAAAGAGGGGGUUGCGACCUCGAUGUUGGACUAAAAAAAUGAUUAAAUGCAGCAGUUUAAUUAAUAGGUCUGUUCGACCUUUAAAUUCUUACGUGAUCUGGUUCCAGACCGG
rnacentral:rRNA from 1 species